AGCCACAGCCAUAUCACCCUGCAGCCCAAGACUGGUUGUCCACUGAAGCUAAGCAGGGUUGAAUCUGGUCAAUACCUGGAUGGGAGACCACCUGGGAAAACUUGGUUGCUGUCGGAA
rnacentral:rRNA from 1 species